GGGGGUGUAGUUCAGUGGUAGAGCGCGUGCUUAGCAUGCACGAGGCCCUGGGUUCGAUCCCCAGCACCUCCA
rnacentral:tRNA from 1 species